CUAGAAUACUAAGUGAGUUAAAAAUUGUUGUCAUCUCUCUAGGCAGUUUAUACAUAUGUGGGAGUUUGCUUCAUCCCCAUCACUGGGAUCCUCGCAUCCUGGGACCACACCAAGGUGGGGAAGCGCCGAUUGGUCAUCUCUGUGUCUUGGAGGAAGAGCUGCCAUUCCCCGAAACGGGAUGUUGUUUAACACAGUAUCACGUUCCUUGCUUUUCUCCCUGUCGAAGACAAUGUGAUUCUCCCAAGCUCAGGAGGAACCUUAUCUCCCAACCCUCUUCCAUAAUUUCAUCGACCACAACAUGAGAAUAAAGAAAAAGUGAAAAAUCAUUCUACUUUAUUGUGGGAUAGAUGGUAGAAUUAUUACUCUGUACAACCAUUAAAUCUGUGAUGUGGGGCCCCAUCUUGGCAAAAGUGUCUUUGCUACGCCACCAUAGCAAACCACUACGCCACCAUAGUGCCUGAGCGGUAACUUCAGU
rnacentral:lncRNA from 1 species